CGCGCAGGCGGUUUGUUAAGUCAGAUGUGAAAGCCCAUGGCUCAACCAUGGACGUGCAUUUGAAACUGGCAAGCUUGAGUAGUGGAGGGGGUGGUGGAAUUCCCGGUGUAGAGGUGAAAUUCGUAGAUAUCGGGAGGAAUACCGGUGGCGAAGGCGACCACCUGGCCACAUACUGACGCUGAGGCGCGAAAGCGUGGGGAGCAAACC
rnacentral:rRNA from 1 species